CCUUACCUACUCUUGACAUCCAGAGAAUUCGCUAGAGAUAGCUUAGUGCCUUCGGGAACUCUGAGACAGGUGCUGCAUGGCUGUCGUCAGCUCGUGUUGUGAAAUGUUGGGUUAAGUCCCGCAACGAGCGCAACCCUUAUCCUUAUUUGCCAGCACGUAAUGGUGGGAACUCUAGGGAGACUGCCGGUGAUAAACCGGAGGAAGGUGGGGACGACGUCAAGUCAUCAUGGCCCUUACGAGUAGGGCUACACACGUGCUACAAUGGUCGGUACAGAGGGUUGCAAAGCCGCGAGGUGGAGCUAAUCUCACAAAGCCGAUCGUAGUCCGGAUUGGAGUCUGCAACUCGACUCCAUGAAGUCGGAAUCGCUAGUAAUCGUGGAUCAGA
rnacentral:rRNA from 1 species